rnacentral:rRNA from 1 species
ACUCAAAGGAAUUGACGGGGGCCCGCACAAGCAGUGGAGUAUGUGGUUUAAUUCGACGCAACGCGAAGAACCUUACCAGGGUUUGACAUCUCUCUGAAAGCAGCAGAGAUGCUGUGUUUCCUUCGGGGACAGAGAGACAGGUGGUGCAUGGUUGUCGUCAGCUCGUGUCGUGAGAUGUUGGGUUAAGUCCCGCAACGAGCGCAACCCUUGUUGCCAGUUGCCAUCACGUGAAGGUGGGCACUCUGGCGAGACCGCCGUUGACAAAACGGAGGAAGGUGGGGAUGACGUCAAAUCAUCAUGCCCCUUAUGUCCUGGGCUACACACGUACUACAAUGGCAGCAACAGAGGGCAGCCAAGCCGCGAGGCCGAGCGAAUCCCGAAAGGCUGUCUCAGUUCGGAUUGCAGGCUGCAACUCGCCUGCAUGAAGUCGGAAUUGCUAGUAAUGGCAGGUCAGCAUACUGCCGUGAAUACGUUCCCGGGCCUUGUACACACCGCCCGU